UUUAGUUCCUUCGUGUCCUUUGCAUCUGGCAUUACUGUUCGUAUGAACGAACUUAAAGCACUGGUUUUGGUUUUAGAAGGUUAAGGCAAAAUUCUUCUCUUCUCUCUUCAUUCUUUGUUCUAUUUUUCUUUUUGCCCAAAACCGAAAAAAAAAACCUACGAGAGAGGGGAAGAGAAGCCUUCAAUGUCAAAUCCAUAGGCCAUGAGAAGUAGACAAGGUAAAAAAUUUCUGAAACUCAUUCUUCCUUUCUUUUUUCUCGUUUUCUCUCUUCUCCCUUCUCUUUCUUCUUCAUUUCGAAAACCCUAAGAGAAAGAGGGAUUCUUGGUGCGGCUAGGGGAAGAAGAAAAUCUGAACCUCAGAGGAAGUAACGGAAGGGAGAAUUUAAAAGGGGAGACGGGGUUUCAAGGUGAGUAAUGCAAGCUAUAGAAGGAGCUCUAAUUGUGGCCUCUAGUAUGGGAUCUUUUCUCAAGAUUUUUCAGUCCUCUUGGCAUGACACCUGUUGUUGGAUUGGUUGGAUUAGGGUUCAUUCAACGAGGAUUUCCUGCGUUGGGGAACUGUGUAGAAAUUGACAUACCAAUGCUAUUGUUGAUUGUUGGGUUGUCACAAGUUCAUGUCACCAUAUCCUAUCCAAUGGGGUCCACCCACUUUUUCUGCUGUUCAUUCAUUUGCAAUGAUGUAUGCAGUUUUGUAUCAAUGGAGGCUUAAGUUGUUGUAAAGUGUUUUACCCCCAAUCAUGGUUAGAAGAGACAAAGUAAUAAUUUCAGAGGAGAUUUAUAAUCAUAACAAGAAUCCCUACUUCAUUUGGUUGAAUUUCCAACAAUGGCUUGACGAUACAAUUUUCAUGCAGUCAACUGGUGCAUACAAGGCAGCAUCUCGUUUGGCAAUUGCUACUCCACCUCCUGCUUAUGUGUUGAGUUGAGGCAUUGGUUGGCAGUAUUUUUCUAGCUGCAAAUGUCAACAAUAUCAUGAAAGUCAAAUAAUUGAAGUUAGGGAAAAUUGGUGUUUACAUGUAAUUAGUACAUAUAUAUAUAUAUAUAUAUAUAUAUAUAUAUAGGUUAUGUUAUGGUGAUGUAAUGCUUAUAAGUAGUGAUAUGAUACAUAUGUUAUAUGAUUGUAUAGAUUAUCUUAUAAAGCAAUGUAUUGUCACGACACGUACUAGACGAUUUAAUGAUUA